rnacentral:rRNA from 1 species
AGGGAAUCUUCCGCAAUGGACGAAAGUCUGACGGAGCAACGCCGCGUGAGUGAUGAAGGUUUUCGGAUCGUAAAGCUCUGUUGCCGGGGAAGAACAAGUGCCGUUCGAACAGGGCGGUGCCUUGACGGUACCCGGCCAGAAAGCCACGGCUAACUACGUGCCAGCAGCCGCGGUAAUACGUAGGUGGCAAGCGUUGUCCGGAAUUAUUGGGCGUAAAGCGCGCGCGGGCGGUCUUUUAAGUCUGAUGUGAAAGCCCACGGCUCAACCGUGGAGGGUCAUUGGAAACUGGAAGACUUGAGUGCAGAAGAGGAGAGGGGAAUUCCACGUGUAGCGGUGAAAUGCGUAGAGAUGUGGAGGAACACCAGUGGCGAAGGCGACUCUCUGGUCUGUAACUGACGCUGAGGCGCGAAAGCGUGGGGAGCAAAC